UACGUAGGGUGCAAGCGUUAAUCGGAAUUACUGGGCGUAAAGCGUGCGCAGGCGGUUCUAUAAGACAGAUGUGAAAUCCCCGGGCUCAACCUGGGAACUGCAUUUGUGACUGUAGAGCUGGAGUACGGCAGAGGGGGAUGGGAAUUCCGCGUGUAGCAGUGAAAUGCGUAGAUAUGCGGAGGAACACCGAUGGCGAAGGCAAUCCCCCUGGGCCUGUACUGACGCUCAUGCACGAAAGCGUGGGGAGCAACAGG
rnacentral:rRNA from 1 species